AUUAACGUCGAUGCCGACGACAACAUUUAGGUUUAUUUUGGACAAUGGUCAUGCAAGCGAUUGUGAUAUAUACUGAACUUAGGCGUCGUGCACGACAUCUUCCAAGAGCUCCUCAUACAAAUUGGAAUUCUAAAAGAGAAAUAACACUUAUAAGAAUGUUUGGCACGAGUGAUACAAUAUGUCGUGAUCUCCUUAGGAUGAAAAUAGGUCUAUUUCAAAGAUUAUGUGCUCGUUUGCGAACUUAUGGAUUGGUUGACAGUAAAUACGUUCGAAUUGAGGAACAAGUCGCAAUUUUUUUGAAUACAAUCGGGCAUGACCAAUGUAAUCGUGCUGGACAUUUUACUUUCUUCCGCUCUGGUCAAACAGUGAGCUUUCACUUUCACAGAGUCUUACACGCUUGUCUUGGACUAUACAGAGAUGUUGUGAUUAAUGCCACUCCUCAUAACUCACCAUACGAAAAAGAAAAUGUGCAGCCAUGGUACUCCUUUUUUUAGGAUGCCGUAGGAGCAAUCGAUGGUACACAUAUUGCUACGUAUGUGCCUUUAGAGGAGCAAGUUGGGAGGGAUCCACACAUGAUGGUCGAUUGUUACGGAGUGCAAUAUUACGCUAAGGACAUAAGCUAACAUUUCUGUUGGUAAGUUGUGUCACUAUUUUGAAAACAUUUCCCUCCACACAUAAGUUAUAAUAAUUACCUAAUUACUAUCUUUUGAACGACUCUUUCCUAGAUAAAUAUUAUCUUGUUGAUGCUGGCUUCCCAUCGGUUCCGGAUUUUCUUGCACCAUACCGUAGGACUCAUUAUCAUUGUAGAGACAUUGAAGGUCAAUGUUCUGAAAUUAGUAAGGAGUUGUUCAAUUUUUGACAUUCAUCUCUACGUAAUGUUAUUGAGUGUACAAUUGGUUUGCUGAAAAAAACGAUUUGCAUAUUUGAGGCAUCAACCCUGUCACGACAUUGAUACACAAGCAAAGAUAGUCCUUGCCUAUUCUACCAUCCACGUUUUGCCUGUUAUCCCCCGAUCAUGAUGAAAUGUGCAUAAAGUUGAUGGUCAAAAUGAGGAUACGGAUCCAAGCCCCAUUCACGCUCCUAAGCAUAACGUCGAAGGAGGAACUAACAAAGUUCGCCGUCGACGUACCCAACGUAAUGAUGAGACUCUCGUUGCCCUAUCAUUGCCGAAUCAUCUAAAAAAAUUGCUAAUGCUAUGGAGACUCAAGCAACAUUAGAUACGCUAAACCACAUCAAUUGGCAGUUGAUUCUAGAAAAAUUACAAGGCAUGAGUAUAGAAAAGCAUGACAUAAUGCAAGUAAUGAAAAUAUUUCGAUUGGAUGAGAGUCUGGCUAGAGUAUUUAUGGGUUUGACUGAUGAAAAAUUCAUGCGUGAUUUAGCAUUUGAGAAUUUGGGCCGUGAUCCACCUCCACUAUUUUAAAAUGACUUGCUUUGAUAAUUCAACAAACAUAUGUGAAAGUAUGACAUCUAUGUUGAUUUUAUCUGCUAUUUUCUUA